GAUGAACGCUGGCGGCGUGCCUAAUACAUGCAAGUCGAGCGAACAGACGAGGAGCUUGCUCCUCUGACGUUAGCGGCGGACGGGUGAGUAACACGUGGAUAACCUACCUAUAAGACUGGGAUAACUUCGGGAAACCGGAGCUAAUACCGGAUAAUAUAUUGAACCGCAUGGUUCAAUAGUGAAAGACGGUUUUGCUGUCACUUAUAGAUGGAUCCGCGCCGCAUUAGCUAGUUGGUAAGGUAACGGCUUACCAAGGCAACGAUGCGUAGCCGACCUGAGAGAGUGAUAUGGGACACACGAGAUGAGACACGGUCCCGAGACCCACGCGAGGGAGAAGUAGAGAAUCUUCCGCGAUAGGGGCGAGCCUGACGCAGCAACGCGCCGUGUGAGAUGAGAGGGUCCGGAGCUCGAAACUCUGUGAUUAGGGAAGAAAACAAGUGUAUGUGUAUCUGCACACGUUGACAGGAUACCAACAGAGAGACCCGGGUAUAAACGUG
rnacentral:rRNA from 1 species